CUGUCCACCUGGCCCAAACAUCGCCCUCCCCUCAUCCACACCAUCCUCCUCCGCGCCACCGCCGUCAUUCCCCCUCCGCUCCCAACCGUCGUCACCCCCUCCCGAAUCCCUAGCGCCACCAACACCCGCCCGUCCAUGGCCUCCGUCUCCCCCGCCGCCGCCAUCUCCGCCCCCCACCACAGCCGCCUCCUCCACCCUUCCUCCCUGCGCCGCCUCCCCCGUCCGCGCCCCCGCCCGCGCGCACGCCUCCACCUCGCCGCCUGCCAUGCCGACACCCUCCUCCCCUCCUCCACCGCCUCAUCCUCCUCCUCGGGGCCCCGGAUUCCCCCGCCCCCCGCGUCGGGGCCCUCCACCGCCGCAGACUCCGCCGCCGCCGGGUUCUUCGACUGGCUGCGCGCGCGGGGGCUGCCUCCGGGCAAGGUGGCCAUCCGUGAGCGGCCCGUGCCCUGCUCGCGCGAGGGCAAGGACCGUCCGCUGCGCUACGUCGCCGCCGGUGAGGACCUCCAGGCCGGGGAUGUGGCGUUCGAGGUGCCCAUGUCGCUCGUCGUCACGCUGGAGCGGGUGCUUGGCGACGAGUCUGUGGCUGAGUUAUUGACGACAAACAAGUUGUCUGAGUUGGCAUGCUUGGCAUUGUAUCUCAUGUAUGAGAAAAAACAAGGAAAAGAUUCAUUUUGGUAUCCUUACAUUAAGGAGCUUGACCGGCAGCGAGGAAGGGGGCAGCUAGCUGUUGAAUCACCACUUUUAUGGACUGAAAGUGAACUUGAUUACCUUAAUGGAAGCCCUAUGAGGGAGGAAGUUGUUGUGAGAGAUGACGGAAUAAGGAGAGAAUAUAAUGAGCUUGACACAUUGUGGUUCAUGGCUGGUUCACUAUUUAAGCAAUACCCUUUUGACAUACCUACUGAGGCUUUUCCGUUUGAGAUUUUCAAGCAGGCUUUUGUUGCAGUACAGUCUUGUGUGGUUCAUUUGCAGAAAGUUAGUUUAGCUCGAAGAUUCGCGCUAGUUCCCUUGGGCCCACCACUGUUGACCUACAAGAGCAGCUGCAAAGCAAUGCUGACAGCUGAUGGUGAUUCUGUUCGGUUGGUGGUGGAUCGGCCAUAUAAAGCAGGAGAACCAUUAAUCGUUUGGUGUGGACCACAACCAAACUCCAGGCUGCUUCUCAACUAUGGUUUUGUAGAUGAAGACAAUCCCUACGACCGCAUCAUGAUUGAGGCAUCCCUAAACACAGAAGAUCCUCAAUACCAAGAAAAGAGAAUGGUCGCUCAGAGAAAUGGAAAGCUUGCUAUCCAAAAUUUUCAUGUCUACAUAGGCAAAGAGAGAGAAACUGUUGCAGAAAUGCUGCCUUACCUGAGACUAGGAUACAUUUCAGAUCCAGAUGAGAUGCAGUCCAUACUUUCUUCUGAAGGUGAUACAUGUCUAGUUAGUCCAUGUACAGAGCGGGCAGUACUUGAUCAACUUGUUGGAUACCUGAAAUCUCGAUUGGCUGGCUAUCCCACUACUUUGGACGAGGAUGAUGCUAUGUUGGCAGAUGGCAAUUUGGAACCAAAGAAGGAAGUUGCUACUAGGCUUGUCAGGUUGGAGAAGAAAAUGCUCCAUGCUUGUCUCCAGGCUGCUAACGAGUUCAUAAAUGACUUGCCUGACCAUACAGUGUUGCCUUGCCCUGCUCCUUUUGCUCCUGAAUUGAAAUGAGAUUUGGUCUAUGCGUAAGAAGCAUGCAAUGAGCAUCAUCUCUUGCAAGAUGGAUAUACUACUUGAAAGAUCUGCUACAAGUUUCCUUUAGAGAUUACAUCAUUGUUAAAUGCAUCACUAGAAGGAAAUCACAAAUCUGGCUGAGUGUAAUAAGGAUACCGCUGGUCUCGAGCAGAUGCGCUAGUUAGUUGCAAUGCACAUAAGUGUGCAUGAAGUUUUCUUUUGUUAACCUAGUGGCAGUUGUAUUCUCAAUGUAGAUUAUGUUUGUCCAUUGUGAUAAUCAGGGGUUAGGAGUACCAAUCAUGUACAUGACUGCUGACUCGCUUCUAUUUGUCCUGAGAAGAACUUAUAUGGGAAAUUGCAUGGUUUCAACGA